rnacentral:rRNA from 1 species
AUGAAGCGCGCGAGGGAGGAAGAGCCAGUUGUGUCGCUGGCGCUGUCGCUCAGCACAGACUCCUCGGCGACGUCCACCACGACGUCGGAGUCAGACAGUUCGACCGGUGCGCCGGCGAUGGUCCCCAGGAAGAGGGCGCGGCGAGGGAGAGCUGUGGCCACGUCCGGGGAGGGGGAGUUCGUGUGCAAGACUUGCGGGCGUGCCUUCGAGACGUUCCAGGCGCUCGGCGGGCACCGGACUAGCCACCUGCGCGGCCGCCAUGGGCUGGAGCUCGGCGUCGGCGUCGCCAGGGCCAUCAAGCAGCGGAAGCGGCAGGAGGAAAAGGCCAUCAAGCAGCGGAAGCGGCAGGAGGACAAGCAGCACGACUGCCACAUCUGCGGGCUGGGCUUCGAGACGGGCCAGGCGCUGGGCGGGCACAUGCGGCGGCACCGCGAGGAGAUGUCACUCAGCGGCGCCAUGGACCGGUGGGUCGCGCUGUCGGAUCAAGAGGCUGGGCACCAGCACGCCGCCGUGGACCGGCCGCCAGUCUUGCUCGAGCUUUUUGUCUAG